rnacentral:tRNA from 1 species
AAGACACUAGUAAAAUAAACAUUACAAUGCCUUGUCAAGGCGUAAUUGUGGGGUAAAGUCCCACGUGUCUUU